UUCAAAUGAAUUGAUGGGGGCCCGCACAAGCGGUGGAGCAUGUGGUUUAAUUCGAUGCAACGCGAAGAACCUUACCUACUCUUGACAUCCAGAGAACUUUCCAGAGAUGGAUUGGUGCCUUCGGGAACUGUGAGACAGGUGCUGCAUGGCUGUCGUCAGCUCGAGUUGUGAAAUGUUGGGUUAAGUCCCGCAACGAGCGCAACCCUUAUCCUUUGUUGCCAGCGGUUAGGCCGGGAACUCAAAGGAGACUGCCAGUGAUAAACUGGAGGAAGGUGGGGAAUGACGUCAAGUCAUCAUGGCCCUUACGAGUAGGGCUACACACGUGCUACAUGGCGCAUACAAGAGAAGCGACCUCGCGAGAGCAAGCGGCCUCAUAAAGUGCGUCGUAGUCCGGAUUGGAGUCUGCAACUCGACUCCAUGAAGUCGGAAUCGCUAGUAAUCGUAGAUAGAAUGCUAGGUGAA
rnacentral:rRNA from 1 species